rnacentral:rRNA from 1 species
ACAUCCAGAGAGUUUAGCAGAGAUGCUUUAGUGCCUUCGGGAACUCUGAGACAGGUGCUGCAUGGCUGUCGUCAGCUCGUGUUGUGAAAUGUUGGGUUAAGUCCCGNAACGAGCGCAACCCUUAUCCUUUGUUGCCAGCACGUAAUGGUGGGAACUCAAAGGAGACUGCCGGUGAUAAACCGGAGGAAGGUGGGGAUGACGUCAAGUCAUCAUGGCCCUUACGAGUAGGGCUACACACGUGCUACAAUGGCGCAUACAAAGAGAAGCGACCUCGCGAGAGCAAGCGGACCUCAUAAAGUGCGUCGUAGUCCGGAUUGGAGUCUGCAACUCGACUCCAUGAAGUCGGAAUCGCUAGUAAUCGUAAAUCAGAAUGUUACGGUGAAUACGUUCCCGGGCCUUGUACACACCGCCCGUCACACCAUGGGAGUGGGUUGCAAAAGAAGUAGAUAGCUUAACCUUCGGGAGGGCGUUUACCACUUUGUGAUUCAUGACUGGGGUGAAGUCGUAACAAGGUAAGCGUAGUGCU